rnacentral:rRNA from 1 species
GUAGGGUGCGAGCGUUAAUCGGAAUUACUGGGCGUAAAGCGUGCGCAGGCGGUUUCGUAAGACAGAGGUGAAAUCCCCGGGCUCAACCUGGGAACUGCCUUUGUGACUGCGAGGCUAGAGUAUGGCAGAGGGGGGUGGAAUUCCACGUGUAGCAGUGAAAUGCGUAGAGAUGUGGAGGAACACCGAUGGCGAAGGCAGCCCCCUGGGCCAAUACUGACGCUCAUGCACGAAAGCGUGGGGAGCAAACAGGAUUAGAUACCCUGGUAGUCCACGCCCUAAACGAUGUCGACUAGUUGUUGGUGGGGUUAAACCCAUUAGUAACGUAGCUAACGCGUGAAGUCGACCGCCUGGGGAGUACGGCCGCAAGGUUAAA